GCAGUCGUGGCUGAGUGGUUAAGGCGAUGGACUAGAAAUCCACUGGCACAGGUUCAAAUCCUGUCGACUGCG
rnacentral:tRNA from 2 species